UUAAGAACCCUCAGUGCAAUC
rnacentral:miRNA from 1 species